AGUGAACGCUGGCGGUAGGCCUAACACAUGCAAGUCGAACGGCAGCACAGUAAGAGCUUGCUCUUACGGGUGGCGAGUGGCGGACGGGUGAGGAAUACAUCGGAAUCUACUUUUUCGUGGGGGAUAACGUAGGGAAACUUACGCUAAUACCGCAUACGACCUACGGGUGAAAGCAGGGGAUCUUCGGACCUUGCGCGAUUGAAUGAGCCGAUGUCGGAUUAGCUAGUUGGCGGGGUAAAGGCCCACCAAGGCAACGAUGCGUAGCUGGUCUGAGAGGGUGAUCGGCCACACUGGAACUGAGACACGGUCCAGACUCCUACGGGAGGCAGCAGUAGGGAAUCUUCCGCAAUGGGCGAAAGCCUGACGGAGCAACGCCGCGUGAGUGAUGAAGGUCUUCGGAUCGUAAAACUCUGUUAUUAGGGAAGAACAAAUGUGUAAGUAACUAUGCACGUCUUGACGGUACCUAAUCAGAAAGCCACGGCUAACUACGUG
rnacentral:rRNA from 1 species